CAACAAUGGAUCUCUUGGCUCUGGCAUCGAUGAAGAACGCAGCGAAAUGCGAUAAGUAGUGUGAAUUGCAGAAUUCAGUGAAUCAUCGAAUCUUUGAACGCACAUUGCGCCCCUUGGUAUUCCAUGGGGCAUGCCUGUUCGAGCGUCAUCUACACCCUCAAGCUCUGCUUGGUGUUGGGCGUCUGUCCCGCCUCUGCGCGCGGACUCGCCCCAAAUUCAUUG
rnacentral:rRNA from 1 species